UUAAAGUUUUAUUUUGGCUUAGUAUUUUAGUUUGCUAUUUUUUUACAUGUUUGGCUUGAAUUACUUAAAUAGUGUUUUUUUGCAGUAUUUUGUAUUGAAUUUUCGUUUAUUUGAGAUUCAGAGAUUGGUUGUAGUUUUGACGAAGCUUGUGCCAGCAGUUGCGGUUAUACAAGCAAUGCGACUGAAAUUUAUUGGUGAAUAAUUAAUUGAUAAUUUUUAAUUUUAUGUUAAAUUUAUGGGGUGAAAUUUAAAAUUUGAUAAAAGUUUUAUUAUUGAUUAUGAAGUUGUUAAAGUCUGUUUUUAAACUAGGAUUAGAUACCCUAUUAUUCGGACUGUAAAUCUUUAUACCUGAUUAUUAGUAGUUUAUUUUCUUGAAAAUUAAAAAAUUUGGCGGUAUCUCAGUCUAUUCAGAGGAAUCUGUCCCGUUAUUGAUGGCCCACGUUUUGUUCUGCUUUUCCUUUUAGUUUGUAUAUCGUCGUGUUUGAAUAUUUCAGUAGAAUUAAAAUGUUCAAUUUGUUCAAUAAAAGCUGAUGUCAGAUCAAGGUGCAGCUUAUGGAGAAGAUGGAGAUGGAUUACUUUGAUCAUAUUUUUGGUUUGUUUUUCUUAAAUGUUAACAAUAAAUAGGAUUUGACAGUAAUAUUGUUUAGAUUAUCAGUGUGAUUGAGGCUCUGAGAUAUGCACAUAUUGCCCGUCGCUCUCAUUAAGGUGAGAUAAGUCGUAACAUAGUAGAUGUACUGGAAAGUGCUUCUAGAAAGAU
rnacentral:ncRNA from 1 species